CCUUCAGGGGCAUUUAUUUCCCGGUCAGAAAAGAAGCAGGGACAGGCGCCUCUGCCUGAGCCCGGCAGACGCAACACAAAGACCGGGGAUGGGGCAGGGGAGGCACAGGAGACGGCUCUCAGCAAUGUGUGCACUUGGUCCCUUGUUUGUUCCUGGCUGGGUCAGGGAGGGCCUGCCGGGGGUGGUGGCACUGAGAGCCUGGGGGAACAGGCGGCAGGCCAGCUGGCCAGGCACUGGUGGGCUGGGGAGCAGCAGCAGCACACCCCACAUGUCCCUGGGUCACUGGGUUCGCCAUCGGGGAAGGAACAGGGAGACCACAUGCUCAUGCAGACACAGGGAGUUAGAGGCUAGUGAGGCCCCACGGCACACUCCACAUGUUAAGGCAUCAUGGUUAGACGGGACUGACAGCGACAAGGAGGCUGGCAAGGGAGCAGCGGGGCUGGAGGACGGCCCAGCCCCCACGAGGCCCUGCAUCCCACACCCCAGCUCCAUGCCGGAGCAGCAGACGCACACGUCCAGGGACAACCACGGGGCCUGGAGAAUGGCUGCUCCGCUCCCUCCUGAA
rnacentral:antisense_RNA from 1 species